rnacentral:snRNA from 1 species
AUCUUUGCAUUUGGGGCAAUGACGCAGCUAGUGAGGUUCUAACCGAGGCUCGUCUAUUGCUGGUUGAAAAUGAUUUCCAUGCCCCCUCUUAGGCUUGAGCAACUCAAGCCUUUAAGAAUUUCUCGAAGGGCUCCCUUAGGU